UGGUUUUUAAAUGAUUAGUACAUGUGUUCUUUUUAGUAGAUUUAUUGGGUCUGGGAUUUAUAUACAUGUGGAGAGAAUAUCAUCAUUUGUAGUGUUAGCAAGAACCAAAAGGAAAGUGAAUAGAAUUAGGCAAAUGGAUUUCAUGUAGUGUUUCAAAAGCAUUCCUAAAGUUAAUGGUAAAUAGACUUGUUUCUCUCAGCUGGAAAACAUAUCAUGCAGCGUUCUUUUGUCUGACAAUGCUCUUACCUGUUACUAAAGAAAGAGAUUUUUUCUCUCAAGAACUUGAAUUGGAACAGAUCGUCAAAUUUUGCGGAUGGAUAAAAGUAAUGAUUAAGCCCUUGAGAUGAUAUUGGCCUGUGUAAAGGAUACAUCUCAUUACUCUUUUAAACAGUUGAGAAUGACUCGCACAUUCAACUGAACUCUAAGUUCAAAGUUAUCCUUUUUUAAACGCCCAUUUUGGAGACAUUGUGACAUUUUGUGCCUCUCAUCAUUUUAUCUAUUUAGUUGUCAAUCUUAUGGUUCGUUGCUGUUUUCAACUUUUCAUUUAGGGUCAAAAAGAAUGGCUUGCAGAGGUUCAAUUUCUUGGUGUGGUAAAUCACCCAAAUCUAGCAAAGCUUCUAGGAUAUUGCUCUAUAGAUGGAGAAAGAGGGAUCCAACGGCUAUUGGUAUGUGAAUAUAUUCCUAAUAGGAGCUUAGAAGAUCAUCUUUUCAACAGGGUUUUGAACCCUCUUCCUUGGAUCACGAGGUUACAAAUAAUGCUUGGUGCUGCUCAAGCUCGGAUUGGCUUAUCUACACGAGGGACUGGAAGUCCAGGUGAUAUAUCGAGAUUUCAAAUCCUCCAACGUGCUCUUGGAUGAGGACUUUAAGUCGAAGCACUCAGACUUUGGGCUUGCUAGAUAAGGGCCAAAGGGUGACCGUACUCAUGUAUCGACAGCAGUAAGUAGAUAAUAGAUGACUUAUUUUAUUACUACCCCAAGUUCUUUUAGAAAUCAAUGUCAACUUCAUUUGGAGGUUGGCAGAAUCUUGUUUAAAUUGCAAUAUUGAGAGGACAAUUGGUAUUAGUUAUUAUUCGCCUUUCUGAUGGUGUUUCGUUUUUGUACUGCUUGCUGAAUCUAAUGAAAGGGCUGACCUAUUUGCGUUAAACAAAAAAAAAACAUUUUCCCUGGUUCAUAUUGUAUUUGCUUUUGUUAUCGGGUGUUAGUGACUCAUGGAUAUG
rnacentral:lncRNA from 1 species